AAAUCCUUGAUGUGUCAUUGAGGAUAAGGUAAGGGAAAAUUAUGAUAUUACCUUACUAUUAGUGUCGUCCAAAACUCGUGCCAGAAGACUCGGUAAGGCGAGAGACGCAAACGUUAAUCAUCUUGAUCAGGCGUAAAGGGUAUGUAGGCUGUUUAAGUUAAAGAUAUUUUAUCUUUAACGGAUACUAGAAUCUAAAGGAGGUUAAAAUAAUAUUUCUUAUUGUAAGUGUUCGAACUUUAGAAAAGAAGUAGAGUGUUAAAGGCGUAGGCUUUUUUCCAAUAAAGAUUGACGCUGAGAAACGAAGGAGAGGGCAGAAAAAAGGAUUAGAGACCCUUGUAUUCCUCUCUGUCAACGAUGAAUGGUAGUCAUGAGAUAGAAAUAAUCUUGAGGCGAUGUUAACACGUAAAAUCAUUCCGCCUUGUGAGUACGACUGCAAAGUUGAAAACAAAAAAAUUAGUCGGUUUCG
rnacentral:rRNA from 1 species